rnacentral:rRNA from 1 species
UACGUAGGGUGCGAGCGUUGUCCGGAAUUACUGGGCGUAAAGAGCUCGUAGGUGGUUUGUCGCGUUGUCCGUGAAAACUCACAACUCAAUUGUGGGCGUGCGGGCGAUACGGGCAGACUGGAGUACUGCAGGGGAGACUGGAAUUCCUGGUGUAGCGGUGAAAUGCGCAGAUAUCAGGAGGAACACCGGUGGCGAAGGCUGGUCUCUGGGCCGAUACUGACGCUGAGGAGCGAAAGCGUGGGGAGCAAACAGG